rnacentral:lncRNA from 1 species
CAGGUUUCACCCUCCGAGCCCCCCCAGCUGCUGCUGGGCCCAGGAGAGGUGUUGUGGGUGCUCCGGGACCCCCGCUGUGUGCCCAGGGGAUGCGGGGCAGGAGGUGGAGGUGGUCGGUGCCCCGCACGCCGAUGGUGCCCGGACCGGGAGGGAGAGGUUUGGAAGCAGGGAGCACCCCCGGUGCCUCCCCGCAUCCAUCAGCCACGUGCUGGGGGCACCGAGCCCAGGAUAGGGCACAGGAGAAGGGGGCUGCGGGGUACCCCAGUGAGCCGAGGGGCUUCACCUGCACCCGGAGGCAUCCGCAGCCCGGGCAGGGGCUGCCUUAAAUCCCUCCCUUCCUCCCUCCCUCCCCGGCGAGGAACUUCUCCUGCUGAACUGGAGGAUGCUGCAAGCUCCUGCGGACGAGCUGGAGGAGUCCUGUGGCAAAGUCAAGGCGAGCUGGGAAGCGGCGUGCUCCUGCCGAGGGACGCGGCACCCCAUGGCCACCGGAGCCCAGCCCCGGCCGGUGUCACCUCCAGGACUCUGCGGUGGCGCACGGGCUGCGUAACUCGCUUCGUCCCCGCGGACCGGUGGCAUGAGCAGCGUCCUUGGGGGCAGCCGGACCCGCAGUGCUGGGGAGCAUCGGGAACCCUCACGGCUCUCAGGGUUGUGUCUCAGCUGCCGGGGCUGCCAUCGGGUCCCUCCUUCACCUUCCCCUGCCCAGUUUUGUUGCUGAGCACAGCCACAUAG